rnacentral:lncRNA from 1 species
UGAGGAUGGGGAGCUGAUGGCCUGGUUCCUCCUGACUUCUCCAUGAAUGGUUCCAGGGACUUCUAUUUUCCCAGCUCCUCGGAGGACAUGAUGAGGGUGCUUCAGCCCCUUUGGCCUCUGUCCAAGGUACCCAGGCCCCUGGGACUACAGUCAGGGGCAUGAAUGGUUUUCCUGACCCACCUGGUGUGACCUCCAGCGCAGCCUCCUGUCACCCCGAUCCAGAGAGGAUGGAGAAGGCGCAUCUGCCCACCUGGCCUGUGAAUGGGGAGGGCAUUAGUGCUUUCAAACACCUGUGGUUCUGCACCAUUCCCAGCCUGCCCAGGCCUUUCAGCCAGCCCCAGCCCCUUGCUGCUCCUCUCUGGUCCCAGGUACCUGCUCUAGGGUGGACAGCACCGAGAGGGCCAGCCCCCUGCAUCCCUUGGAAUCCACAACAGACACACAGAGAUGAGAGAGCCAGAGUGAGGAGUGUGAGAGAUCCCAGCCUAUGCUGUUCUGGGAGAGGGAGCCGGCUGCCUGCACACAGAACGGGAUUGCCAGCCAGGAGAACUGGUACUUGGGCACAGCUCACUGGCAUGAAGGGGGAGCAGGAGAGGGUGGGGUACGGCGGCUGUUUUGGGAGGCAUGUCCCCAGCCCCCUGCAUCCCUUGGAAUCCACAACAGACACACAGAGAUGAGAGAGCCAGAGUGAGGAGUGUGAGAGAUCCCAGCCUAUGCUGUUCUGGGAGAGGGAGCCGGCUGCCUGCACACAGAACGGGAUUGCCAGCCAGGAGAACUGCCCUGGCCCAGUUCUCCACCAGCAGCCCUCAGUGCUUCAAAGAAGGCAGCGGUCCUUGGAGGGGUCUCUCCAGCUGUGCUCGGGGACACAAGGGCCUUCUCACCCCACGGGCUGUGGAGUGGGCUGAAGAUCGAACAGCAAGCAAGCAGACUCGGGGCGACUCAGGGAAGGGCAGCGUGAGGCUGGGACCGGAGAGGCAGAUCCUGCUCCUCCCCAGGGCCGGGGGUAUGAAGUGGUCCACUAGGACAGAGAAGACAGUUUUUGGGGUGGGAAGAGGGUGUGGUGGCCUGGAGUGGGACAGUUUCCACUGGCUGCCUCCAAGCUCUGUAUCUUUGCUCCUACCCCAACUUUGUGUCACGAAGCUUGGAACAGAGUCUUGA